rnacentral:rRNA from 1 species
GACAGAGGGUGCAAACGUUGUUCGGAAUCAUUGGGCGUAAAGCGGGUGUAGGUGGCUCUAUAAGUCAGGAGUGAAAGCCCCGAGCUUAACUUGGGAAGUGCUUUUGAUACUGUAGAACUUGAGUGUGGGAGAGGAUCGUGGAAUUCCAGGUGUAGUGGUGAAAUACGUAGAUAUCUGGAGGAACACCGGUGGCGAAGGCGGCGAUCUGGCCCAACACUGACACUGAGACCCGAAAGCAUGGGGAUCAAACAGG